CCCUAGCCUUCCAAGCUAACGAUGCG
rnacentral:tRNA from 1 species